rnacentral:rRNA from 1 species
UACGAAGGGUGCAAGCGUUGCUCGGAAUCACUGGGCGUAAAGCGCACGUAGGCGGAUUGCUAAGUCAGGGGUGAAAUCCUGGAGCUCAACUCCAGAACUGCCUUUGAUACUGGCGACCUUGAGUCCGGGAGAGGUGAGUGGAACUGCGAGUGUAGAGGUGAAAUUCGUAGAUAUUCGCAAGAACACCAGUGGCGAAGGCGGCUCACUGGCCCGGUACUGACGCUGAGGUGCGAAAGCGUGGGGAGCAAACAGG